UGGUGUACAAAGGUUUGGAAACGUGGCAUCGGUGUUCAGGAGGCACCGCACACUGUCACAGUGGAAGUCUGUGAGCCGCUGACUCCGUCAAGAGCAGACCCGGAGCACAGCGUGACAAAAGGGCUCAUUUCAUUUUCAAGAAACUGGGAAACCUCUCUAAUUCUGAGAACCUUGAUUAGAACCUCAGCCUUGAAGAGCGUGAUAAAUUUGCAACCCAGACCCAAACUGCAGCCAAACGGAAACCACCUGGCCCUGGUCCAGCCGUUUCAGCAGGGGCAGGGAAGCUCCCGCCGCCCUAUCCGCCCAGAAGCCGAGGGGAGGCUCCCGAGCAGGCUGGCAGACGGGGCCCGGCCCCGCGGCGGGAGCGGCGUUACGGCACGGCGAGCCGCCCGCCGGCCCCGGCCCCUCCUGAGGGCGCCUCAGCCAGGGAGCUCCCCUCAGCGCGGCCAGGUGGGGCGGUCCCCGCCUCCCCGCCCCUCGGGCGGCGCGCUCCCCGGCCGGCAGCGGCGUUGCGGUUCCCGCCUCGGCAGCGGCUCAUCUCAGCGCUGCCCGCCGCACGCGCAACAGGUCAGCGCCGGGGGAGCCGCUUCCUCCCGCUCCGUGCGUGUGUGCGCGCCGCUGUGCCGGGAAACAAAGGGGCCGAGCGCGGCGCGGCCCCCGGGGCGAGCGCAGCUUCUGCGCGGCGCGGGCUCCCGCGUUCAGCCAUUUGCAGCGCCCGGCAGCGCCCCUCCGCCUCUCUCUCUCUCUCCCCCUCCCUCCACCCACCACGCUCCCCCCGCCGCCGCCGCCGCCGCCGCAAGCUCCGGCGUUCCGCGGAGCUGCUCUGCAACGCCGGGCCCGCGGGUGGGCAGGCGACGGGCAUCGCGCCCGGGCCGGGGCUGCCUUGCGGGAGCCGCGCUGCCCGAAGGUAAGCGGAGCGGUGCGCGGUGGCGGCGGCGGCGGCCGGGUCGUUCGGUGUCCCCGGGAGCGGGGAGGGGGCCGGGCAGUACGCGGGUCGCGGCCCCGAGGAGCCGCGGAUGGGGCUGCGGCCCCGCGGUAACCGCGUUCGUAGCUGGGAUCUGGCGCACCGCGGGGUUUAAUCGCGCUGAGCUUUGCCAUCCGUCCCCAUUAAUCCGCCUCGCUGCCCUGCCCGUCUCCCCCCGCCUGUCACGGCGCUGCGCGUUUCUCUCCGCGCUGACUCGCGCUGACCUGCUGGCCGUGCGCCCCGCAGCCGUGUGCGAGAUGCGUGCCGGCGGCACGGCGGCUGCUUCCCGCUGUAUGUGCUUUACGCCGUGA
rnacentral:lncRNA from 1 species